CAGGACACCUGGGUUUGCUCCCGGCUCAGGAGGGGAGUGUGGUCUAGUGGUUAGAGCAGGGGCUGGGAGCCAGGAGACUCCUGGGUUCUCUCCCCCAGUGACCCUGCGCCCUGUCCCCGCAGCGGAAGCCCCGUCUGGGAUUGGGGACCUGGUUCUGGCAGCUGAGCUGAUGGAGAUGGCCGGGGUGUCCCCCUGCUAUGCCCAGCCCUGGGGCGGGACCCAGCUGGCCGUGCAGCAUGACCAUGGGGCCUAUGGCGUCCCCCAGGAGCCGGCCGUGCUGGGCCGCAUGGUGCGGGAGCUGCAGGAGACCGUGCAUCGGCAGAGCCAGCUGCUGCAGAGUUUGCAGGAGGCCCUGGCCGCUAGCCAGGAGCGCUGCCAGGAGCUGCAGGAGAGGUCGGCGAGCGAGUGCUGGGCGCUGGCGUCAGAGCUGGGCCAGCGGAUUGUGGCGCUGGAGGCCGAGAACCGGAACCUGCGGUGCGAGCGAGAGCAGCUGGAGAGCCAGACGCAGGGGCUGCGGGAGGAGCUGGAGCGGAGCCGCGGCACGGUGCUGCACAUCAGCCACAAGCUGAAGGAGCAGGGGGGCCGGGGCAGGCAGGGCCGGUUCUGCCUGGCCAGCGUCCGGGGCAACGGCAAGUGGCUGCGGUUCUACACCGGCUUUGGCAGCGCCCAGCGCUUGGCCGCGUUCCAGGCCUUCCUGACGGAGGGGGAGCCGCAGCGCGGGGCCGAGCCGGGCCCCCCCAGCGCCCUGAGCCCCGAGGACCAGCUCUUCCUGGUACUCGUGCGGCUGCGGCUGGGGCUGCUCCUGCAGGAUCUGGCCUUUCGCUUCCACCUCUCCGAGGCCACCGCCUCCCGCUACUGGCUCAGCUGGACCCAGCUCAUGGAGACCCGGCUGGCCCAGGUGCCAGUGCGGUGCAGCCCGCGCUACGUGGAGCGCUUCGAGCCGCGACAGGCGGCGCGGGUCGGGGGCAUCCCGCUGGUGGUGUUGGACUGCGCCCAGCUCUGCUUCGAGGGCCGGGGCCGGCGGCUCUAUGCCCUGCAGGGCUGCGCCCUAGCCGCCCCCAGCGGCUUCCUGGCCUUCUGCUGCAGCGCCGCCCUGCGGGGCGGGGAGGGGGCGGCAGGGCCAGGGCUGCCCCCCUUCCUGCAGGACGGCCCCGUGGCCCUCAGCGCCCGGCAGGGGGAGGCCAGCCGGCAGGUGCUCAGCGUGGCCAGCCUGGCCGACAAGGCCUUGCGCUUCCGUUUCCUGCGUGGGGUCCAGCCCCCCGCCAUGGAGGGCCAGGUGGGGCGGGCCUGGGCCAUCUGCUGCUACCUAGCCUGCUUGCUGCAUGAACCCAUGGGGCUGCCCUAGGCUAGGGGGUCUGCGCCGUGGGGAUUCCCUGCUCCCCUCUGGCUGGCAGGUGUGGGGCUGGGCUAGGGGGCCUGGAUUCCUCCCUGCCAGUGGCUGGGAGGUGUGGGACUUGGCUAGGGGGCCUGCAUUUCUCCCGUUCCCCAGUGGUUGGGGGGAAGGGAAAUCUGGGGGCAUUCAAGCAGGAUCACUGGGGGUGGGCAGGGGGGGUCCUGCUUGCAGCUGAUCUAUGUGGCAGCCUGGAUAGGGCAUUUGGCCCUGCAGCGCCCCCUCUUGGGGGGGGGAGGAGAAUGUGUCCACACUGAAAGGGGCAAAUCCUGCUCCUCAGCCCUGGGAGGGGCCGAGCCCCCCCAAUUCCAGCCCACCCAGGCAGGAGGAUGGGAUGGUAUUAGGGAGCUGGGUCUGUUAUCAUUCCCCCUUCCACACAGCUGCGGGUAAACCGAGGCACAGAAAAAACAUGCUCAGCCAAGGGUGGAGCCAGNCUCAAUUCCAGCCCACCCAGGCAGGAGGAUGGGAUGGUAUUGGGGCACUGGAGGGAGCUGGGUCUGUUAUCAUUCCCCCUUCCACACAGCUGCGGGUAAACCGAGGCACAGAAAAAACAUGCUCAGCCAAGGGUGGAGCCAGGGACAGAACCCGGGAGUCCUGGCUCCCAGAUACCCCACCCCCCGGCUCUAACCACUAGUCAAGACUCCCCUCCCAGUCAGGGAGAGAAAUGGUGUCGAGUGGGAGGGGGGGGGCAGGGAGGCAGGAUUCCUGGGUUCUAUUCUUAGCUUUGCUGUUGGUUUCCUGCUUCUGCCCAGCUGCUCCUGUCCCCGGGCUCCAACUGUUUUGGGGAGACUGAGGGUGCCUGGGGAGGCAAUUCCCCACCUUGGCCAAAUGUGGGGAGGGGGAGUUGCUGCAGGGCCGCCGGCCAUGUCCCUGCUGCUCUCUGUAUGGGUGGGUUUGUGGAUUAUUUGUAACACGUCCCCCCCUUUCGGCUGGAAAUAAACCCUUUGUUCCUGGGAACGGCGUUGAAGAG
ensembl:lncRNA